rnacentral:rRNA from 1 species
AACGCGAAGAACCUUACCUGGGUUAAAUCCACCGGAAUCUUCUAGAGAUAGAGGAGUGCCCUUCGGGGAACCGGUGAGAAGGUGCUGCAUGGCUGUCGUCAGCUCGUGUCGUGAGAUGUUGGGUUAAGUCCCGCAACGAGCGCAACCCUCGUCGUCAGUUGCCAGCGGUUCGGCCGGGCACUCAGACGAGACUGCCGACGUGAAGUCGGAGGAAGGUGGGGAUGACGUCAAGUCCUCAUGGCCCUUAUGCCCAGGGCUACACACGUGCUACAAUGGCCGGUACAAAGGGUCGCCAACUCGCAAGAGCCAGCCAAUCCCAAAAAACCGGUCUCAGUUCGGAUUGGAGUCUGCAACUCGACUCCAUGAAGUUGGAAUCGCUAGUAAUCGCGGAUCAGCACGCCGCGGUGAAUACGUUCCCGGGCCUUGUACACACCGCUACAGU